GUAGGUGAACCUGCGGAAGGAUCAUUACUGAGUGCCGGUCCCUCGUGGACCGAACCUCCCACCCUUGUCUCUUGUAUACCCUGUUGCUUUGGCGGGCCCACUGGGAAUCCCCAGUCGCCGAGGGGCACUGUGCCCCUGGGCCCGUGCCCGCCAGAGCGCCCUUGAACCCUAAUGAAGAUGGACUGUCUGAGCAUGAUUGAUAAUAAUCAAAACUUUCAACAAUGGAUCUCUUGGUUCCG
rnacentral:misc_RNA from 1 species